CAACCCAAAAUCUUGAACUAUUGGGUGGAGGGAUUCACAGGUAUAUGAGGGGACAGAAGGUCUCAGGGGUAACCGAUAUGGGACUAUUCUCCCAACA